rnacentral:rRNA from 1 species
UGCAGUCGACGCUGAGCUUGGUGCUUGCACUGGGUGGAUGAGUGGCGAACGGGUGAGUAAUACGUGAGUAACCUGCCCUUGACUCUGGGAUAAGCCUGGGAAACUGGGUCUAAUACUGGAUAUGACAUGUCACCGCAUGGUGGUGUGUGGAAAGGGUUUUACUGGUUUUGGAUGGGCUCACGGCCUAUCAGCUUGUUGGUGGGGUAAUGGCUCACCAAGGCGACGACGGGUAGCCGGCCUGAGAGGGUGACCGGCCACACUGGGACUGAGACACGGCCCAGACUCCUACGGGAGGCAGCAGUGGGGAAUAUUGCACAAUGGGCGGAAGCCUGAUGCAGCGACGCCGCGUGAGGGAUGACGGCCUUCGGGUUGUAAACCUCUUUCAGCACGGAAGAAGCGAAAGUGACGGUACGUGCAGAAGAAGCGCCGGCUAACUACGUGC